rnacentral:rRNA from 1 species
CUGCUGCCUUCCGUAGGAGUCUGGGCCGUGUCUCAGUCCCAGUGUGGGGGGCCUUCCUCUCAGAACCCCUACGCAUCGUCGCCACGGUGGGCCGUCACCCCGCCGUCUAGCUAAUGCGCCGCAUGCCCAUCCGCCACCGGAUCGCUCCUUUGGCCACCGGAGGAUGCCCUCCGGUGGCGUCACGGGGUAUUAGGCCGCGUUUCCGCGGGUUAUCCCCCUGUGGCGGCCAGGUUGCAUACGUGUUACUCACCCGUGCGCCGGUCGCCGGCGG